rnacentral:rRNA from 1 species
GACGAACGCUGGCGGCGUGCUUAACACAUGCAAGUCGAACGGAAAGGCCCUGCUUUUGUGGGGUGCUCGAGUGGCGAACGGGUGAGUAACACGUGAGUAACCUGCCCUUGACUUUGGGAUAACUUCAGGAAACUGGGGCUAAUACCGGAUAGGAGCUCCUGCUGCAUGGUGGGGGUUGGAAAGUUUCGGCGGUUGGGGAUGAACUCGCGGCUUAUCAGCUUGUUGGUGGGGUAGUGGCUUACCAAGGCUUUGACGGGUAGCCGGCCUGAGAGGGUGACCGGCGACAUUGGGACUGAGAUACGGCCCAGACUCAGAAGGGAGGCAGCAGUGGGGAAUAUUGCAAAAUGGGCGGAAGCCUGAUGCAGCAACGCCGCGUGCGGGAUGACGGCCUUCGGGUUGUAAACCGCUUUCGACUGUGACGAAGCGUGAGUGACGGUAAUGGGUAAAGAAGCAACGGAUAACUACGUG